GAUCCAGAAUGCAGAUGAUGUGUUAAUUGCACCUUUAGAGAAGUUCAGGAAGGAACAGAUUGGAGCUGCAAAGGAAGGGAAGAAGAGUUUGACAAGGAGACAGAGAAAUACUACACCGUUCUAGAGAAGCAUCUGGCCUUGUCCUCCAGGAAGAAAGAGCCGUUCUUACAAGAGGCAGACACACAGAUUGACAAGGAGAGGCAGGUGUUCUAUGAU